UACGUAGGGUGCGAGCGUUAAUCGGAAUUACUGGGCGUAAAGCGUGCGCAGGCGGUUCGUUAAGUCAGCUGUGAAAGCCCCGGGCUCAACCUGGGAACUGCGGUUGAAACUGGCGAACUAGAAUCUGGCAGAGGGGGUGGAAUUCCACGUGUAGCAGUGAAAUGCGUAGAUAUGCGGAGGAACACCGAUGGCGAAGGCAAUCCCCUGGGCCUGCACUGACGCUCAUGCACGAAAGCGUGGGGAGCAAACAGG
rnacentral:rRNA from 1 species